UACGGAGGAUCCAAGCGUUAUCCGGAUUUAUUGGGUUUAAAGGGUGCGUAGGCGGCCAAUUAAGUCAGGGGUGAAAGACGGUAGCUUAACUAUCGCAGUGCCUUUGAUACUGAUUGGCUUGAAUGGACUAGAGGUAGGCGGAAUGUGACAAGUAGCGGUGAAAUGCAUAGAUAUGUCACAGAACACCAAUUGCGAAGGCAGCUUACUAUGGUUUAAUUGACGCUGAGGCACGGAAGCGUGGGGAUCAAACAGG
rnacentral:rRNA from 1 species